UACGGGGGGAGCAAGCGUUGUUCGGAUUUACUGGGCGUAAAGGGCGCGUAGGCGGUCAGCACAAGUCAGUUGUGAAAUCUCCGAGCUUAACUCGGAAAGGUCAACUGAUACUGUGCGACUAGAGUGCAGAAGGGGCAACUGGAAUUCUCGGUGUAGCGGUGAAAUGCGUAGAUAUCGUCAGGAACGCCAAUGGUGAAGACAGGUGACUGGGCCGGUUCUGACACUGAGGCACGAAAGCGUGGGGAGCGAACGGG
rnacentral:rRNA from 1 species